rnacentral:rRNA from 1 species
GACGAACGCUGGCGGCGUGCUUAACACAUGCAAGUCGAACGGAAAGGCCCUGCUUUUGUGGGGUGCUCGAGUGGCGAACGGGUGAGUAACACGUGAGUAACCUGCCCUUGACUUUGGGAUAACUUCAGGAAACUGGGGCUAAUACCGGAUAGGAGCUCCUGCUGCAUGGUGGGGGUUGGAAAGUUUCGGCGGUUGGGGAUGGACUCGCGGCUUAUCAGCCUGUUGGUGGGGUAGUGGCUUACCAAGGCUUUGACGGGUAGCCGGCCUGAGAGGGUUACCGGCCACAUUGGGACUGAGAUACGGCCCAGACUCCUACGGGAGGCAGCAGUGGGGAAUAGUGCACAAUGGGCGGAAGCCUGAUGCAGCAACGCCGCGUGCGGGAUGACGGCCUUCGGGUUGUAAACCGCUUUCGCCUGUGACGAAGCGUGGGUGACGGUAAUGGGUAAAGAAGCACCGGCUAACUACGUG